CCUACGGGAGGCAGCAGUGGGGAAUAUUGCGCAAUGGGCGAAAGCCUGACGCAGCGACGCCGCGUGAGGGAUGAAGGUCUUCGGAUCGUAAACCUCUGUCAGCAGGGGAGAACGGUCACUGUGCUAAUCAGCAGUGAAUUGACGGUAACUGCAAAGGAAGCACCGGCUAACUCCGUGCCAGCAGCCGCGGUAAUACGGAGGGUGCGAGCGUUAAUCGGAAUUACUGGGGGUAAAGCGCUCGUAGGCGGUAUGUCAAGUCCAGGGUGAAAUCCCCGGGCCCAACGUGGGGAGUGCCUUUGAAACUGGCUAACUGGAGAGUGUGAGAGGAUAGUGGAAUGCCAGGUGUAGGAGUGAAAUCCGUAGAUA
rnacentral:rRNA from 1 species